rnacentral:rRNA from 1 species
UACGAAGGGAGCUAGCGUUGUUCGGAAUCACUGGGCGUAAAGCGCACGUAGGCGGAUUUGUAAGUCAGGGGUGAAAUCCCGGGGCUCAACCUCGGAACUGCCUUUGAUACUGCAAAUCUCGAGUCCGAUAGAGGUGGGUGGAAUUCCUAGUGUAGAGGUGAAAUUCGUAGAUGUUCGGAAGAACACUAGUGGCGAAGGCGGCUCACUGGCCCGGUACUGACGCUGAGGUGCGAAAGCGUGGGGAGCAAACAGG